CCUGGAUUUCUUUACAAGGUUCGAGCUGCGUACAGAUAUGCUGCUGAAGAUGAUGAUGAGUUGUCAUUUGAGAAAGGAGAGAUCAUAAAUGUUGUCGAGUUUGAGGAUCCAGAGGAACAGGAUGAGGGCUGGCUCCUUGGUAUCCUAGAGCUGAGCGGAAUUAAGGGUGUUUUCCCGGCAAAUUUCACUAAAAGAAUUUAAUUGAUAAUUUACUUCAAGUGAAGAAGGUUCAGUUAUGAGUAUGAUGGUGAUAAUGUUCUAUUCACCAGUCCUGUCAUCAUUAUGUUUAAAAAGCACUGUUUAUUAGGGUUGUUAAAAAUACAAUGAUAGAGAAACGAGAUGGUGGCUAAUAUAUAAAAUUAUAAAAUAAUUCAAAUAGUACGUGCGCUCUGAUUGGUCAUAAAACCAUUUUACAUGAGCAUAUGUAAACACGGUUUUCAUUCCUCUUUCAUAGCUUCAUUAGCUUCGCGUCAUGGUUUCCUACGCUUAUCUUGUGUUCUCCCAACCUCCCGCGUGUUUACAUCAGGCUAUGUAAACACAGAAACCAUUUUACAUUCCUUUACUUUAAGAUCAGUUUCUAAUUCUGAGGCCAUUGGUUGUUUGCAAAAGUCUACAGAGGGAAAAAUUUUGUUAUUACUCCUCACUUCAGUUACCUUGAAUUCGCUCCCAAAAUUGUAGUUUUGCCACAUUACAAUAUUUCAUUGAAGAAACCACAAUCAUUGUAUUUUAACAUACUUUAGCUGUUAGCACUGACAUUAGACAUACACUGUAAUUAUUGACAGCACUUAGGGAUUCAAGAACCAUACUUUGAAUUUAUGAGCUUUUUUUUUUGUUUUUUGUACCAUAAAUAUAAAGUAUUUAGAUGAUCAAAAGGCAUUCACCUCUAUGGCAACAAUCUACUGUGAAAGGGAUACAGAUCCAAAACUGCUUGUGCAAAAUUAUCAAUAAUUUCUUGAAUUACAAAAUUGCAUCAUUUUUGUGGCUUUGAGACAAGAGUUAAGGGAAGGAAGGUUUGUUGUAAAUGAGAAAUGUAAUGAGUUUUCUCAAGGAGAGUGUGACUGGGCUGUACAUAGCCAAGUAAUUGGUACAAAUAAUUCUACAUUUUGAGCUAUGUAUAUGGAAAACCUUUUUGAGUGAAGAUGUGAAUGCAUUGUAAUUUAAAUCAUCUGAGUUACUUGUAUGUGUAUUAUAGUUUUGCAUUUAAUUAUAACCAUAAAUUGUGAUUCACAAAUCAGACUCCUGCUUCACAGUUGUCUGAUUUUGUUAGUAACUCAUAUGAUUACAGACCAAAUUGGACUUGACUCAGUCUUAUUACCAUGAUUAUAAAUCAAGGAUAUCAGAGGUAUUACUUUUCCUGCUUUCUUAUUUUUAUUAAUGCAAAAUAGAACCAUGGCAGUGAUACCAGAAACCCCAAAUGUAUCAAGAGACUGUACAGUUAUUCAUAUUUGUACAAGUAAUACUGUUAGAAUAGUUCAUUAAUAGUUAUUUCGUAGAGACAAGAUUAUUAUGCAUUAUUUUAUUUUGUGUGCCAGUAAUGGAAACAAAUGCUAAAUAAAAGGUCACA